UGCGUUACCGAGUAUUUACCGCAUGGUACGACUCAAUGGCAAUACGCAACAUCAUAUUCGUUGAACGAGAUUCCUAGUUAUCACGUUAUUCAUGAAUUACAUGAAGGGACUACCUACAUAAUAAAGAACACGAUUUCUUACGAGGAUACCGCGGUGGAUCAAUUUAAGUGGGCUACGACGUUAGAACGAGAUAUCGAAUACGUUCCUGUCAUUACGGUUGUCAAGGUAACUAAUUCUUCGAUAGCGAUUGAAUGGACUGCGCCUCCACCGGAACUGGAAGGUUAUAUCAGCCUCUACAAUGCUUGCAUUCAAGAUAAACUUCGUAUUGGCGUGAAGCGGGCAGAAAAUGCAUCGGUGUUGAGUCACGUUUUUCGUGGACUAUAUUUGCCUAAAACCUAUGAUAUCCGAGUAGAAGCUUGUUCAAUUGACGAAUGUCGAAAUAAGUACCCAAGCACCCCUGUGACUGGUGUAGCUCUGGAUGUUGCAGAUGAUGUGAACCCAGCGUUCACCCCAAAUGUCUUUGUGAACGAAUCGACGAACGAUUCAAUAACUAUCAAGUGGAACGCACCCGAAGAUUCGUACAAGGGUCCAGCCAUUCAUUA